rnacentral:rRNA from 1 species
UUGCCCUAGUAACGGCGAGUGAAGCGGCAACAGCUCAAAUUUGAAAUCUGGCCCUCUUUGGGGGUCCGAGUUGUAAUUUGCAGAGGAUGCUUUGGUAUCGGCGGCGGUCUAAGUUCCUUGGAACAGGACAUCGCANAGGGUGAGAAUCCCGUACGUGGGCGCCUGCCUUUACCGUGUAAAGCUCCUUCGACGAGUCGAGUUGUUUGGGAAUGCAGCUCUAAAUGGGAGGUAAAUUUCUUCUAAAGCUAAAUACCGGCCAGAGACCGAUAGCGCACAAGUAGAGUGAUCGAAAGAUGAAAAGUACUUUGGAAAGAGAGUCAAAUAGCACGUGAAAUUGUUGAAAGGGAAGCGCUUGCANCCANACUUGCCCGCAGUUGCUCACCUAGGCUUUUGCCUGGGGCAUUCUUCUGCGGGCAGGCCAGCAUCAGUUUGGGCGGUUGGAUAAAGGCCUCUGUCAUGUACCACCCUUCGGGGUGGCCUUAUAGGGGAGGCGCAAUGCAACCAGCCCGGACUGAGGUCCGCGCAUCUGCUAGGAUGCUGGCGUAAUGGCUGUAANCGNCCCG